AUGAUGGGGAUGGUGGGGAUGAUGGGAAUUAUUAUGAUGGGGAUGGGGAUGAUUAUGAUGAGGAGGAGGAGGAUGAUGGGGAUGAUGAUGAUGUUAAUGAUGGGGAUGAUUAUUAUGAUGAUGGGGAUGAUGGGGUUGGGGAUGAUGGGGAUGUGAAACAGCUGUGGACAACGAGCAGCCCAGAGGCAGCUGUGCAGCCAGAGAUGGGGCUCAAAGCUGCCUGGCUGGUGGGAGGGUGUGGCAGCAAAAUCAAUCAACCCGUUAAUCAAUCAGCCUAUGAGAGGCAAGGUCAGAUGCAUCUUGGGAAGGUGAGGAAGCCGUGUGGUCUGGGUUUUGGAGAACAAAGCCCUGUUGGCAGCAGGUGCAGGCUGGGCUGCUGUGGGACCUGCUGGUGUUUGCCCGGCAGCGCCGUGGCCCUGGGACACCUGGGGACAAGGAGACAAAGGGACCAGGCACUGGCAGCGCCCACCCAGCUUCCCCGUGCCAGCGCUGACUUCAACACACGUUCCCUCCUGACGGGCUGCGCUUUGGGGUUGUUCCCAUGGGUGACCCGUGUCACACGCAUGGCUGCGGCUCAGAAAUGGGCACUGCUGGCCCUGCUUGUCCUUGGCCAGCUGUGAGAUCCCGGCGAGUUCAAUCACCAUGGGGCACGCACAGCACUCCCGCAACAAGGAGCAGCCUCCGAGUCCUCUGACCUGUGACAGUGGCACCUACACCCUGAGAAAGAGCAAAGAAAUAGCUGCAAAAGAGCAAAGAAAUAACCACAAAGUCCAUCCUGCUGGUUUCCAGCCCAUCCCUACACAGAGAAGCAGCGUUUGCAGCAGCAGCUUUGGCGUGAGUGCUACAGGUUAUUCUGCAUUCACUACUUUUGCAUUUGGUUUUUGGUUUUGUUUUGUUUUCACUCCUGGGAAAGCUAAUUACAAACAAUUUAAUU